rnacentral:rRNA from 1 species
AGAGUUUGAUCCUGGCUCAGGAUGAACGCUGGCGGCGUGCCUAACACAUGCAAGUCGAACGGAGUUAUUAUUAUGAAGUUUUCGGAUGGAUUGAUAAUAACUUAGUGGCGGACGGGUGAGUAACGCGUGGGUAACCUGCCUCAUACAGGGGGAUAACAGUUGGAAACGACUGCUAAAACCGCAUAUGCAUACAGUAUCGCAUGAUACAGUGUGGAAAUAUUUAUAGGUAUGAGAUGGGCCCGCGUCUGAUUAGCUAGUUGGUGAGGUAAUGGCUCACCAAGGCGACGAUCAGUAGCCGGCUUGAGAGAGUGACCGGCCACAUUGGGACUGAGACACGGCCCAAACUCCUACGGGAGGCAGCAGUGGGGAAUAUUGCACAAUGGGGGAAACCCUGAUGCAGCGACGCCGCGUGAGUGAAGAAGUAUUUCGGUAUGUAAAGCUCUAUCAGCAGGGAAGAAAAUGACGGUACCUGACUAAGAAGCCCCGGCUAACUACGUGCCAGCAGCCGCGGUAAUACGUAGGGGGCAAGCGUUAUCCGGAUUUACUGGGUGUAAAGGGAGCGUAGGUGGUUCGGUAAGUCAGGUGUGAAAGCCCGGGGCUCAACUCCGGGAUUGCACUUGAAACUAUCGGACUAGAGUGCAGGAGAGGUAAGUGGAAUUCCUAGUGUAGCGGUGAAAUGCGUAGAUAUUAGGAGGAACACCAGUGGCGAAGGCGGCUUACUGGACUGUAACUGACACUGAGGCUCGAAAGCGUGGGGAGCAAACAGGAUUAGAUACCCUGGUAGUCCACGCGGUAAACGAUGAAUACUAGGUGUUGGG